rnacentral:rRNA from 1 species
CAGCAGCCACGGUAAUACGGAGGGUGCAAGCGUUAAUCGGAAUUACUGGGCGUAAAGCGUGCGUAGGCGGUGAGUUAAGUCUGCUGUGAAAUCCCCGGGCUCAACCUGGGAAUGGCAGUGGAUACUGGCUCGCUAGAGUGUGUCAGAGGAUGGUGGAAUUCCCGGUGUAGCGGUGAAAUGCGUAGAGAUCGGGAGGAACAUCAGUGGCGAAGGCGGCCAUCUGGGACAACACUGACGCUGAGGCACGAAAGCGUGGGGAGCAAACAGGAUUAGAUACCCCCGUAGUCCCUGUCUCUUAUAC